GAACCAUAGUUCAAUGGCACAGCAUCUGUUUUGCAUGCAGAAGGUCCCAGUUUCAAUUCCUGACAUCUUCA